rnacentral:lncRNA from 1 species
UUCACCAAGUCCUCCGAGAUCCUGAGCAGCAGCAGAGCUGGUGCCGCGCUGGUUAGGAUGGGAGGAAAUCUUCCAGAGGAAACUUGGCUUCAGGCUGUCUUGGAGGGAGGCUGAAGCGGAGGACAGGCCUUUUUAUUUUUUUUUUUCCCCUCGCAGCAACUGGAGAUACUUGAGCUUUUGCAAAAAACAGAGACGUCUUUGCUGCAGCUGCCUCCUCCUCCUCCUCCUCCUCCUUUUCCAUCUUCUUCUUCUUCUUCUUCCUUUUUUUGUGAAGUGUGGGUUGAUUGAGAGGGGAAAUGCUGAUGGGUGGGUCUGAAAGCAGCCUUAGGAACCCGAGAAAAUAAAAACACAGUUGAAGGACUCUGGAAGAUUUUGCAUUUCAAAGGGUCUACCUUGUAGAAUUUCACAUCACGUCAGGGGUUACGGAGAAGUGUGACAGGCACCCCGCUUCUUUACCGUUCUCUUCUCCUGCCGUGGGGGCUGCUCGGGAAGCUGCCUUGGGGGGGAUGGGGGCCGCCCGGCCAGACUGUGCAGGACUGUCACGGAAACAACAGCACCCCUUAGGCAUCCGGAGUCCCCGGAGGGACUUUUUGCACUGGCCCCUCUCAGGAGUUGAAAGCAGUGGGCGGUCGGUAAACAGCGCAUUUGAUCCCAGGACGCAGGAGCAGUCAGAUGGUGGGGUCCCCCUGGGGUCGGGGGGAAGCUGCAGCCCACGACCGCUGUCUCGCUGGACCUAACGUGCUGUGGGCCCUCUCGUCUGGCUGGCCCUGCCUCCCGGGGGUUGCAGGAGGAUCGUGCGAGAGCCCGCCUGUCUGGGAAGCCCCUCCUGAGGGGUGGGUGCCACCGGGCCACAUGAGCUGGACUGGAUGGGCAGAAGUUCUGCCAGACGGUUCAGGGUGGGCUGCAUGCCAGCGAAGCACAGAGGACCUUUGGGCAGAGUGGAGGUGAAACCCAGGGCUGUGUCAUUUAGAGCCAGGGUGGCAUUCAGCCCUGGAACCAGCGCCUGGGUUCAGAUCCCAGUCUACCCCCUGUCAACCAUUUGCUCUUAGGCAGUUGACUGCCUCUCCCCGCCCAGUUCCCUCAUCUGGGAACUGUGGCACCCAGCCCGUGGGUUUGGGGCACCGAGCGAGACCAUGGCUGGGGACACUUGGAGCCCAGAGGGUGUUGGUGUGCAGCCUGUGGCAGGCCCGUGCUGUUGGGGGGACAGAUGGAGGGCUGGGAGCUCCAGGGGAAGGAGCAGGGCAACUGUCCUCACGGCCCCAGUGGGCAGCAGGAUGAGGGUCAGAGCAGAGGGGACUUAAACUUGAGCCGCGCUUGGCUGGACGGGUUCGGCUGGAGCAGCUUUCCUCGCGCAGUGGUCCCCGCUCUCAGAUGUUUUGAGAUGAGGGGAGAGGAAGAGCUGAAAGCAUGUGGCUCAGUCUAGGGUGCAGGGUGUCUCUUCACCAGAGUUAAAACUAGGGAAAUCUUUUAUGCUUUCUCUUUAGGGAACAAAAAUCUCUGGUUUCCAGAGGUGAUUUAAUUUGGCCCUAAAUACAGAAAAUUAAAUCCAGGUUGUGUCACGACGGAGCCUCGGAAUCCUGGCUCUGCUCGCACCACCUUCUGUGGAUGGAAUCCUGGGAGAGCUCCGUGGCCACCCGCCUGUAUUUGUACCGAGAGGAAGGUCCAUCUCCUGCCUUUGAGAUUCUUUUCAGAUUCUCUGCAGCCGCCGCCUUAUUUCAUUUGGCCCCUUCUUUCGAGUUGCCGAACUGCCUUUCACCGCUGCGGCCAGCAUCCCCUCGGUACAGGUUACACGGUCGCAGUUGAGGCGCUUGCCCCCAGCCUGGCCCCCUUUUGCCGACUCCCGGGGUCUGCUGCCUCCGGACCCCUUUGCCACCUGAACGUGGUGCCAGCUUCUAAAGCAGGAGCUCAUCCAAGCUCAUCCCAGCUUCUGAAAUGAGUCCUCGACUAGGAUGAUGGCGGGAAGGGCUGUUCCCUCCCCCGCAGGCACUGGCCUCCCUUGGUGCGGCCAGUGGUCCCUGAUAGUCUCCUGAGUGUUGCCCCUUGGCAGCCCCAGCCUGGCAUCGUGUGGGGUGAACAGAGAGGGCAGUCUUGGCUUAAGAGGUCACCUGCUGUACUUUGGGCACCUCUGGGGGGCACCCCUCCAUCUGGGCUCUGAAGACUGCAUCAUUCUCUGGGGUCUGGGCGGGUGCCUUGACUCCAUGCUGCAGCAGCAGCCCCUGCCCUCAGAAGCUGGCACUGCUGGUCGGGGCCGGCUCUGGCGAGCUCUCUCCAGAGAGAGCAGUGGCUGGGCUUGGGUGGCCUUGACGCUGACCUUCUUCCUGGAUGUCGCGAAGCCGGGUGAUGGGGGGCUGUGUGAGGGAGGUAAGCGAGGCGUCUGGGCUGCCUCUGGUCCUGGCAGAGGUGACAGAACUCAUCUUCCUUGCUCUCUGGUCCUCUUCAGACUUGUCACUGAUUCCGUGGUGACCACAGAACACUCCGCCGCGCUGGUGAUCCGCUCAGUCAGUGUCACACAGUGACUAUGUGUGGUCAGGCCCUGGGGAGUUGAGAGAUGUGUAAACCGAAUCCCUGUCUUGGAGGAGUUUGUAGGCCUGUGUCUGGGUCACUCGAGCUGCAGUUGUGUUUAUUUGCGUCCUGCCGGGUACCAGCGACAGUGCACUAAGUGCUGUGGAGGUGUGGGUACACAGGGUCCUGAGGGGUCACAGGUGGGUCCUUUAAAUCGAGGAGGCCUGAGAAAGGCUGCCUGCAUCCUGAACGAGCAGGAGUUGAGACGGACGCAGAACCGGGAGGAGGCGAUGUUCCAGACCGGGGAGCGGUGUGUGCAGAGGAGGGCUCUCGAGACCGCCUCGCGGGGGAGAAUAACCUUGGCUGCAGGGUGGGAGGCGUGCCAACCGGCAGCGUGGCAGUGGGCACCAGACGGAGCCAGACUUUAUUCCCGGAGGGAUGGGAGCCGGGAGCCACGUGCCGGUGCUUGCACUGUGGAAGGCUCGGUGCCUGGGGGGUGGCAUUGCUGAGUGGGGCUUGGAGCAGACACCUGGGAGACCACAGAGUGACCCAGGAGAGGGGUGGCUGCCCAGGGCAGGGCGAGGCCAGAGGGGUGGCAGUUGGUUGGUUGGUCACCAGCUGGAUGCCGGGGAGGAAGCAGGAGGAGGAGGCAGCGGGGAGACUGCUCAGGGCCCCCAUCCCUUUGACCUUGGAGUGACCUCCUUGGAGGGCACAAGACCAGGCGCCAACACAUGGACUCUUCACCAAGUGCCAUCUGCUUGGCCAGAGGGGAGUGGUGUGUGUUUUAGUUGAAGCCCUUGCUUUGGUGGGGGGGGGCACUUGGAAUUCCCAAGAACUUCCAAAGCUUCUUGCCUGUGCCUGUCCUGGAACGAAGGACAUCAAAACGAAUAAAACCUUUUGGCAUUGCACGAGUUGGAAAAGCCUGAUUCGGUGUAAAACUACCUUCCCAACCCCUUAAAGGCAAAGAAAGUAACCGUGUUGGUGUGAUUACAGAAGGAGCUCGGGCGCCCUUUGGGCUCUGUCGUAGCGUGUUCCCGCUGGUGUUUUCCAGGGGUGGGGGAGUGGCUGACACAGACACUCGAGAAUGUUCUGCCUGGGUCACCUGACGCCUGGCGCUCCUGUGGACUCCACACCCUCAGAUGCCAGCCCAGAUUCCAGGCCCCACUGGCCGUGUGGCAUGUGACUCGGGCCCAGAGGAAGAGAAUGAAGGAACAUAAUGAGCCUACGAGGACCGGCAGUUCAGCAGCUCACCUUGGCUUUUGGGGUGUCUUUUCCGAGCCUCGUUGCGGUUUUUGCUCACGGGCAUCUGGUCUUGCGGAGAGAAGUAAGUUAUCUGCGAGUGGCCUUAAGUUUGGCGGUCAGCCUCCUGUCCAUCAGAUUCCCAGCGCGCUUAGCAAACACCCCCACCGUUGAGAAAGAAAAGUAAGAGCGCUCAGGCCCGGCCGAGGCGAGAGAGGCCACGAGGUGAACUGCAGACGGCAGCAGAAGAGCCAGCUUGCCAGGAGCGGGGCCAAGACCCGAACCUGUCAAGUGCCCAGGGUGCUGCCUGAAGAGGGUAUGGUAGAUCAUUCAAAUUUUUUUUUUUUAAUCAAUUUUUUAAACUUGUAUAACGUUUGGGCAUGUCCUUGAGUGCUGCUGAAAAGGCUCCAGGACGUCUCUGCCCUGGGGCGCCACACAGGGCCCUCCGCUCAGCUGCGAAAGGAAAGCCGCAGCCAGCAGGGCAUCUGCUCCGUGUUGGCUGGAGGAGCUCCUGGCCUGCGGACCUCCUCCUUGGCUUUGAACCUGUGUGUAGACGCCCGACCAGUUCUGCGUGCGCGUGAGCGACCGAACAGCCACUUCUGCCCCAUUUCCAGGUGGCUCUGUGGGGAGACCAGGCAGUCCCUCGUGGAAGGCAGUCAGUGGCCUGGCCAGGCUUCGGGUGCUCUCUGGGACAAGGGCUCUGAUUGUCAGCCCCUCUCCGGAGCUGAAGGAGAGGGCUGGGCCCAGGGGUUUGCGGCCCCCCCGCCCCGUCUGGCUGCCCAUCUCAGACUUGGCCUCUGCUGGUGUUUUGGCUCAACCACCUGGCUGCUACAAAGCCAGCAUGGUGGUCACGGCCGGCGUGUCCGAGGGCCUGAGCGCCCUCUCCUCUGCUCAGGAACGUCCCCGCAGACCUGCUGUGAGAUGGGGGAGAAGCCCUUGGCGCCCCCUUCUGCUCCGAGGAGCCUGGAGGAAGAUGGAAGCCAGCACGCAGUUCACAUUUGAGCUGGGCCUGCUCCCGUGAGAUUGUGCGACUCUCUAAGGAGCUGCAGAAGCAUCUCUUUGUGACCCGUCACCAGGGAGCAGUCCUUGGUUUCAGAGGACUUGUGGGCGGCAGUGCCGCAAAGAGCGACAGACACAUCAUCACUCGGCCGUGCAGCGCCCGACCCUGCCCGGUAAAGGGGGGCCGCCACGGAGUAUCGGAGUGUCCUGUGAUGUCCUGGUGACCGACAGCCUUCCACGAGGGUGACAAGGGCUCCAGAACAGUGGACAGAACAGGAAUCAGGAGAGCACGACAUCACGGGGCCUUCAGGAAAUUGGCUUUGUUUUUCCUAACCAUUUCCUUCUGGUAAGAGGGUUCAAGCCUCUUACCAGACGAAGUGGUUCAAAUGCCAGCCCGGCAGAAGCUUGGGCAGGGCUGAUUGAUGUCCACUGGAAAAGCCCGAGAGGAAGAGCAAUUAGGGCAAGGAGCUGGGAAACAGAGCCCUGGGUUCUAGUCCUGUCACUUCAUUGCCUUUGACUUUGAAGCAGCCACUUCUCUGUAGACUGAGGCUAAUAGUGUUCCACCUCUCAGGAGAGGGAGGGAGCAGCAGGACAUUGUCAGGGCACCCGGUACCUAUCUAGUUGCCAGUCCCCUGACAUUACAAGUUAAAUAAAAUUUUCAUUUAAUUUUUUAGUUGAAGUAUAGUUAGUUUCUGUUUGCAGUAUUGUGUUAGUUUCAGGUGUAUAGCAAAGUGAUUUGGUUUUAUAUAUGUAUGUAUAUAUAUAUCUUCUUCUUUUUAAAAAAUUCUUUUCCAUUGUCGUUUCUUAAAAGAUACUGAACAGAGUUCCCUGUCCUGUCCAGUGAAAACCUUGUGGGUGUCUGUUUUAUAUACAGUAGUGCGCAUCUGUUAGUCUCACACUCCCAACUCACCCCCCUUCCCCGUCUUGCCCCUUUGGUAGCCAUAAGUUUGUUUUUUCUAUAUCUGUGCGUCUGUUUCUGUUUUGUAAAUAAGUUCAUUCGUACUAUAUUUUAGAAGCCACAUAUAAGCGAUAGCAUAUAAUAUUUGCCUUUCUCUGACUUUACUUAACAUAAUCUCUAAGUCCAUCCAUGUUGUUAUAGAUGGCAUUAUUUCAUUCUUCUUUGUGGCUGAGUAAUAUUCCAUUGUACUUACACACCGCAUCUUUCUCCAUUCAUCUGUCAGUGGACGUUUAGGUUGCCCUUGUCUUGGCUGUUAUAAACAGUGCUGCUCGGGACAUUGGGGUGCAUGUAUCUUUUUGAGUUAGAGCUUUUCCCCGAAGUACUUUUGUAAACGCCCACUGUGUGUGGGCCCUGUGUUGAGGGUGUCACAGGAUUCCCACUUAAUUCUUAUAACCACCUUGAGAAGUGGGUGCUAUGAUUGUCCCCUUUUUCUAGAUGAGGAAGCCGAGUUUUUUUUUUUGUUUUUUUUGGCCUGCCAACCUGUGCUUUAUUUUAUUUUUUUAUCUCCUAUAUAAUAUAAUGCAUUUGAUGUAUAUAACUAUUAUUUUUUAUUACUCAAUGAAUUUAUUCCAUUUAUAGUUGUACAGUGAUCAUCCCAAUCCAAUUUUAUAGCGUUUCCAUCCCACCCCCCAGCAUAUCCCCCCACCCCCCCAACUGGCUCCUUUGGAAACCAUAAGCUUUUCAAAGUCUGUGAGUCAGCCUCUGUUCUGCAAAGAAGUUCAGUCUGUCCUUUUUUCAGAUUCCACAUGUCAGUGAAAGCAUUAGAUGUUGGUGUCUCAUUGUACGGCUGACUUCACUUAGCAUGAUAAUUUCUAGGUCCAUCCAUGUUGCUAAAAAUGCCAGUAUUUCAUUCCUUUUAAUGGCUGAGUAAUAUUCCAUUGUGUAUAUGGACCACACCUUCUUGAUCCACUCCUCUGUUGGUGGACAUUUAGGUUGUGUCCAUGUCUUGGCUAUUGCAAAUAGUGCUGCAAUGAACAUGGGAGUACAUGUGUCUUUGCGAGUCAUGGUUUUCUCUGGAUAGACGCCCAGGAGUGGGAUUAAGAAGCUGAGGUUUAAUAAGAUGAAGAUGUCCAAGGUUGUCCAGCUGGUGGGCAGCUCUGUACUCUCUAUUGCGGUUGGUAAACUAAGCCCCCAGGCCGCAUCUGGCCCAUGGCCUGUUUCCGUAAAUAAAGUUUUAUUGGCAUAUAGCCAUGUCCAUUUUUGUACCUGUGUCUGUGGCUGCCUUUGUGCUACACCAGCAAAGCUGAGCAGUGGUCGCAGAGACCAUAUGGUUCACAAGCCUGAAACCCUUACUGCCCAGCCCUUUGGGGAAGAAAUGGGCUGACCCCUUCCCUUGAGGAUGCUCUGUACUCCAGCCCUGCGCUGGCCAGUGUGACAGCCACUCCCCACGUGUCACUGUUUAAACUUCCCCCAGCUCUGUGGAGGGAUAAUUGACACAAUGAUGGUUAUUUAAAUUUAAAACAAGACAGGAUUAAGAAUUUACUUCUCCGCUUGCACUGCCAGGAGCUCAGGAGCUACAUGGCUUUUCACUGUCAUGCAGCACAGCGCAGAUAUGAAACUUAGCAACACAGAAUGUUCUUUCAGGGCACUAGACUGUGUGUGGAAAAUCCAAUUCGGAGAGGAGGCAUUCCAGUGCAAGAAAGGACACCGCCUUUCCUGGCCCCAAACCCCAGAAUCAAAGAUGAGUUCGUUGGCUCGGAAGUGAUGGAGAAUGUGCAGUGUGACAGAGGGAGCCUGGGCCUGGAGCGAAGACGCUGCCCCCAGACCUUCUGUGUGACCGUGGACAAGCCACCCGCACUGUGCAAGCCACAGUGCCCAACCUCAAGGGACCAGUUGCUGCCUGAGGACCCCUCAGCGCUGCCGCCCUCUGGCCAGUCAGCCCAGCUCCUUUCUCCGCAGCUCCUGGCUCACCUGGGCCAGUGGCCACAUCAGCUCUGCAGUGCCCGGUGCCCCCUGCAUUCCCCGCCCCCCAUGUGUGUGCACAUGCUGGGCCCUGCGGAAAUGCACAGAAGUCCAAACUUUGCUGUUUUCAGAGCCUGCUCGGCCCCGGACCAUCUGGACCCCGUGGGCUGCACCACUGUGCCUCCCGUGCUGGGACGGGCCACGGAUAAGGAACUACUUUAUUCAUUCAGGGUGGGGGCUCCCAUGAAGCAGGAGGAAGGAAGGCCAGCUCCAGGCCCCUCGGCCAGCUGAGGUCCCGGGGCCUUCUCCUUUGGAUGCCCUUACCCGCCACACCGAGGCCGUCUGCUGACCAGCUUGGGGCCGGGCUCGGCGGCCGCUCUUGUCUUGCUUGGUUCUGAUGUUCCCUGAAUAGGAAUCUCCUCGGAAGCUAAUUGGGGGCGGAGUCCUUCCGAGGUGUGGAGGAUGCUCUUUGGACCGGACCUUAAAUGGCUUGGGGCCGGCCCCGUCUCCCCCUCGUUGGUGGGUGCCGAGGGGCUGUGCUCGGGGAAGAGCCGGGUGUCCAGACGGGGGUAGCUGCGUUAAUGAGAUGCUGCGCUUCGCCAGGAGUCGGGUCCACUCCCGCUCUUGGGAACAGCUGGGCCUGUCUGUGUUGGGUUUACUCGGGUCCAGUCCGCACGACUCUCCCUGACUUAGCCAAGGGCCCGCUCCCUUUACAAUCAGGAUGAAGGCAUUUCUAAAGUGGAGCAGCCAGUUAGCAGGAGGAGCUUCAGGACCUUGGGCGAGCGUGAGGAAGGAGAAAACCAGCUUAAUUCAGUGAAUUUAGCCAUAAAAGAGUUGCAUGAGGAGUUCUUGUUGUGGCUCAGUGGUUAAGGAAGCUGACUAGCAUCCAUGAGGACACAGGUUCGAUCCCUGGCCUCACUCAGUGGGUUAAGGAUCUGGUGUUGCCGUGAGCUGUGGUGUAGGUCGCAGAGGAGGCUCGGAUCGUGAGUUGCUGUGGCUGUGGUGUGGGCCAG